rnacentral:lncRNA from 1 species
CAGUGGCCUACACCUCCCUGGUAAUGGCGGGAGUCAUCAUGCUCAUCUCCAGCGCUGCCUGCUCACUUGGCAGGGACAAGUCUUGGAGCCAUGGCUAGAAAACAAGGAAGGCAGGAGGAAACCUCAGUGCUAUUCACACAGCUGAAAAGUAUCCCCUCUCAAUCAUGCCUAAUGACAGAACCCACUUCAAGUUUUCUAGGAAACGAGGAACUAUCACCCAAAUCCAGAAGACAGGAGACAUCCGUUUCCACCGUCAGCUGCUCCAGCAGAUCUUCAGCCUCUUCCCCAGGGACGACACACUGGCUGUUUGGCAUAAGAUCCUCCUCAAUAAACGACUCUCCAGACUUGAUCACAGUCUGGAACGACUGCAGCUGACAAAAGUACAUUUCUGCAAAAGUAGAAAAUCUAUCUUGUCUCUAUUUAGGAAUUGCUGUCUGGAAAUAUUUCCAAAGAAUCAUUCCCUAUGUGAAGUAAAGGGAAUAAGGCCUCUGUGCCUGGGAGGUUGUCAGAGGGGAAAUUGAAGGGUGCUUUUCCCUAGUUAACAAUCCUCAAAGAAAAGACAGCAAAUAAA